UACGAAGGGGGCUAGCGUUGCUCGGAAUCACUGGGCGUAAAGGGUGCGUAGGCGGGUCUUUAAGUCAGGGGUGAAAUCCUGGAGCUCAACUCCAGAACUGCCUUUGAUACUGAGGAUCUUGAGUUCGGGAGAGGUGAGUGGAACUGCGAGUGUAGAGGUGAAAUUCGUAGAUAUUCGCAAGAACACCCGUGGCGAAGGCGGCUCUCUGGUACGUGACUGACGCUGAGACGCGAAAGCGUGGGGAGCAAACAGG
rnacentral:rRNA from 1 species